rnacentral:rRNA from 1 species
UGGGGAAUCUUGCGCAAUGGGCGAAAGCCUGACGCAGCCAUGCCGCGUGAAUGAUGAAGGUCUUAGGAUUGUAAAAUUCUUCCAGCGGGGAAGAUAAUGACGGUACCCGCAGAAGAAGCCCCGGCUAACUUCGUGCCAGCAGCCGCGGUAAUACGAAGGGGGCUAGCGUUGCUCGGAUUUACUGGGCGUAAAGGGCGCGUAGGCGGACGAUCAAGUUGGGGGUGAAAUCCCGGGGCUUAACCUCGGAACUGCCUCCAAAACUGAUAGUCUAGAGUUUGGGAGAGGUGUGUGGAACUCCGAGUGUAGAGGUGAAAUUCGUAGAUAUUCGGAAGAACACCAGUGGCGAAGGCGACACACUGGCCCAAUACUGACGCUGAGGCGCGAAAGCGUGGGGAGCAAACAG